GGAGGGUUGAAAGAUUUCUACAAGCAAAGGAAAAACAGUGGAAUCUCCAAGGCCAACAGCAAAGCUUCAAAGCCCUCUUCUAGGAAAACCAAAUCUCCGGCCAACUCUGCAUCUUUGGGCUCCGAUGCCGUCCAACCGGCUGCUCUCCUUUCUCACGGAUCCUUCGACCUUCAAGAUGAUUAUGGAGCGUCUGAGAAUAUGCUGAGG
rnacentral:misc_RNA from 1 species